rnacentral:rRNA from 1 species
GACGAACGCUGGCGGCGUGCUUAACACAUGCAAGUCGAACGGAAAGGCCCUGCUUUUGUGGGGUGCUCGAGUGGCGAACGGGUGAGUAACACGUGAGUAACCUGCCCUUGACUUUGGGAUAACUUCAGGAAACUGGGGCUAAUACCGGAUAGGAGCUCCUGCUGCAUGGUGGGGGUUGGAAAGUUUCGGCGGUUGGGGAUGGACUCGCGGCUUAUCAGCUUGUUGGUGGGGUAGUGGCUUACCAAGGCUUUGACGGGUAGCCGGCCUGAGAGGGUGACCGGCCGCAUUGGGACUGAGAUACGGCCCAGACUCCUACGGGAGGCAGCAGUGGGGAAUAUUGCACAAUGGGCGGAGGCCUGAUGCAGCAACGCCGCGUGCGGGAUGACGGCCUUCGGGUUGUAAACCGCUUUCGCCUGUGACGAAGCGUGAGUGACGGUAAUGGGUAAAGAAGCACCGGCUAACUACGUG